rnacentral:hammerhead_ribozyme from 1 species
AUCCAGUUGAUGUGUCCCAAAUAGGACGAAACACGCAUCCUGGAU